rnacentral:rRNA from 1 species
UAAAUAGUCGAGCCAGCUUCGGCUGGUCAUUGGCUUCUUAGAGGGACUAUCGGCUUCAAGCCGAUGGAAGUUUGAGGCAAUAACAGGUCUGAGAUGCCCUUAGAUGUUCUGGGCCGCACGCGCGCUACACUGACAGAGCCAGCGAGUACUUCCUUGUCCGAAAGGUCCAGGUAAACUUGUGAAACUCU